UGGACUUGGACUCUGCUGUGUUAUCCAUGGCUGGUCUAAAAUGCAUGAGUGUACCCUGCUGUUGCAGCGUCUUCAGUGUGAUAAGCAUCCUCACUGGACAAAGUUCCCUUUAGGACACGCAUGCAAGUGGGCUCUGCGCUUCUAACAGUCCCGCUUUUGGGACAGCUUUGACAACUUGACCUCAGAUCGGGUGGGACUACCCGCUGAACUUAAGCAUAUCAAUAAGCGGAGGAAAAGAAACUAACAAGGAUUCCCCUAGUAACGGCGAGUGAAGAGGGAAAAGCUCAAAUUUUGAAUCUGGUGUCUUUGGCGCCCGAGUUGUAAUCUAGAGAAGUGUUUUCUGCCUCGGACCACACAUAAAUUCCCUGGAAUGGGGUUUCAUAGAGGGUGAGAAUCCCGUUUGUGGUGUGGACUACCUUGGCUCUGUGAUACACUCUCAACGAGUCGAGUUGUUUGGGAAUGCAGCUCAAAAUGGGUGGUAAAUUCCAUCUAAAGCUAAAUAUUGGCGAGAGACCGAUAGCGAACAAGUACCGUGAGGGAAAGAUGAAAAGCACUUUGGAAAGAGAGUGAAACAGUACGUGAAAUUGUUGAAAGGGAAGCGUUUGAAGUCAGUCACAUCUGUCGGGACUCAGCCUGGCUUUGCCUGGUGUACUUCCUGGUGGAUGGGUCAGUGUCAGUUUUGACCGGGAGAAAAAGGCUUGGGGAAUGUGGCUGUCUUCGGGCAGUGUUAUAGCCCCUUGUCAUAUGUCUCGGUUGGGACUGAUGUUUGCAGCACGCCUUAUGGCCGGGGUUCGCCCUCGGUACGUGCUUA
rnacentral:rRNA from 1 species